rnacentral:lncRNA from 1 species
CAACAAACAGAUGGUAGAAAUUCAGAGAACCCAUUUGGGCUAACCUUUUAAGGACUUCCUACUUAACGGGGCACAAGGAAAUGAGAAAACUGCACAGAUUAAGCUCUGCUAUUAGCAGAUGCUGUUUCGAGAACUACUCUUCUUGGCUCUUCACAGACUCCAUCAGCAUCCAGAAGAUAUUUGACACACGGGAGUAAGACCGGCGUUCUCAGGGAAGAGACCACACUCGUGUCUCAUGUCACUCUUGGUAUAACUGGAAGAGCCAGUUUCUUGGAGUUUACCUCAUUUACCAUGUCUGGGAACGAGAGCCUAAUGAUAGCAGCUGUGAAGUUCUUUCUAGGCUGCAGAGAAAACACAGCGGACUUCUUUCGGUAUCUUCCACAGAACACAACAGCAUAUCUGCUCAGGAUAUUGUCAAACUAUUCAUCAAGGAAGAGAAAGACAAAGAACUAGAAGAGUAGAUGGAAAUCUGAAGCGAUGCUUACACCAUCUUGUAAAUCCACAGCUAAUUUAUGUAGGACUGAAAAAACAUGUAAAUCCGUGCAAUGUUGGGGGAGGAAAAAACAUCUACGAAAAGCUAGGGCUUUUUGUCAUUAGGAAGGGCC